rnacentral:lncRNA from 1 species
CAAACAUCUCUGCUGAGUGGACACGUGAUAUUUUCCUGCAACAGCCAAACACUGACAGACCAGCCAAGACAGGCCUGGGUUACACACACAUUCACCAAGGAGGAACUGGAGGAGAGACGCAAGCAGUGUGUGGAUCAGCAUUAUGAGCACUUUGAUUGGUUUGAGAUGAUAGAGAAGACCAUCACUGUUACAGCAGAGUUUCUUCAAAGACGUCGUGGUUGUAUGAUCAACAGCUCAGGAGUAUAUGCUUUUGAUGAGUGGGGUGUCAAUGGAGAAGACUUUUUGACCUUUGAACCCCAGACUCUUAAAUGGACUCCUCUGUCUGACCUGGCCACCCAUGUUGCAGUAGAGUGGAACAAGCAGGACUCAUUGAUCAGGAAUCAUGUGUAUGGGGACUUUGGCCAGAUUUUGUGUCCUGAGACUCACAAUACCUUGAAGUUGAAGAGAGCAACAUGGAUCAAUGAAUCUACACAAACGGGUAAUGUCUAGAGAUCUGCAGAAUUAUGUUAAGUAAAUUAGGUCAUAGGAAUAUGUAGUAUUCUUCUUUCAUAUACUUAGUUGACUAGGUCUGUGAGUAUUGACAGUAACACUGUCCUGUUUAUGCUGUAAAAAUAAUAUUUCAGUUAUUUCAACAGCAGUGUGUAUUUGUCUCACCCUUAACAUUUUAAGGUAGAUUAUAACCGUUUAAAGGUCCGUAAAACAUUUGUACUCUUCAUUUUAGAUAUGGAACUCCGUAUUUUUGCCAAACCUAUCCCAGGAAAUACCUCCAUGAAUUUACAGUGUCAUGUGACAGCCUCUGACCUAUCAGGAGUCAGAAUCCAGUUAACCAAAGAUGGGGUUCCUCUGGACUAUGGGGUGGAGCGGAUUGGACCGCGUCCCAAUGGAGACGGAACCGUUCAGAUGAGAGUC